CCUACGGGUGGCAGCAGUCGAGAAUCAUUCACAAUGGGGGAAACCCUGAUGGUGCGACGCCGCGUGGGGGAAUGAAGGUCUUCGGAUUGUAAACCCCUGUCAUGUGGGAGCAAAUUAAAAAGAUAGUACCACAAGAGGAAGAGACGGCUAACUCUGUGCCAGCAGCCGCGGUAAUACAGAGGUCUCAAGCGUUGUUCGGAAUCACUGGGCGUAAAGCGUGCGUAGGCUGUUGCGUAAGUCGUGUGUGAAAGGCGCGGGCUCAACCCGCGGACGGCACAUGAUACUGCGAGACUAGAGUAAGGGAGGGGGGACCGGAAUUCUCGGUGUAGCAGUGAAAUGCGUAGAUAUCGAGAGGAACACUCGUGGCGAAGGCGGGUUCCUGGACAUUAACUGACGCUGAGGCACGAAGGCCAGGGGAGCGAAAGGGAUUAGAUACCCCUGUAGUC
rnacentral:rRNA from 1 species